CCUACGGGGGGCUGCAGUGGGGAAUACUGCACAAUGGGCGCAAGCCUGAUGCAGCCAUGCCGCGUGUGUGAAGAAGGCCUUCGGGUUGUAAAGCACUUUCAGCGGGGAGGAAGGCGUUAAGGUUAAUAACCUUGGCGAUUGACGUUACCCGCAGAAGAAGCACCGGCUAACUCCGUGCCAGCAGCCGCGGUAAUACGGAGGGUGCAAGCGUUAAUCGGAAUUACUGGGCGUAAAGCGCACGCAGGCGGUCUGUCAAGUCGGAUGUGAAAUCCCCGGGCUCAACCUGGGAACUGCAUUCGAAACUGGCAGGCUAGAGUCUUGUAGAGGGGGGUAGAAUUCCAGGUGUAGCGGUGAAAUGCGUAGAGAUCUGGAGGAAUACCGGUGGCGAAGGCGGCCCCCUGGACAAAGACUGACGCUCAGGUGCGAAAGCGUGGGGAGCAAACAGGAUUAGAUACCCGAGUAGUC
rnacentral:rRNA from 1 species